CCAGACUCCUACGGGAGGCAGCAGUAGGGAAUCUUCCGCAAUGGGCGAAAGCCUGACGGAGCAACGCCGCGUGAGUGAUGAAGGUCUUCGGAUCGUAAAACUCUGUUAUUAGGGAAGAACAAAUGUGUAAGUAACUAUGCACGUCUUGACGGUACCUAAUCAGAAAGCCACGGCUAACUACGUGCCAGCAGCCGCGGUAAUACGUAGGUGGCAAGCGUUAUCCGGAAUUAUUGGGCGUAAAGCGUGCGUAGGCGGUUUUUUAAGUCUGAUGUGAAAGCCCACGGCUCAACCGUGGAGGGUCAUUGGAAACUGGAAAACUUGAGUGCAGAAGAGGAAAGUGGAAUUCCAUGUGUAGCGGUGAAAUGCGCAGAGAUAUGGAGGAACACCAGUGGCGAAGGCGACUUUCUGGUCUGUAACUGACGCUGAUGUGCGAAAGCGUGGGGAUCAAACAGGAUUAGAUACCCUGGUAGUCCACGCCGUAAACGAUGAGUGCUAAGUGUUAGGGGGUUUCCGCCCCUUAGUGCUGCAGCUAACGCAUUAAGCACUCCGCCUGGGGAGUACGACCGCAAGGUUGAAACUCAAAGGAAUUGACGGGGGCCCGCACAAG
rnacentral:rRNA from 1 species